AUCACCAUUCUACACCCUUUCACUCACUCGCAAACACCCUCUCUCGUUAAUAUAGUCUGCCACUGAAGUUCGCCGGAGAAACCGAUGCGUCGGAGGCUCUCGAAACCCGACGCUCAAACCAUCCGCUAUUUCCCACCCCAUCUCACUACCUCACAACAUCACUUCGGAUCACUUGCACAUCACUAGAACCCGAAGACGCCGCCGGAGCUACGUAACCUUGCCGGAGUAAACUAGUCUCUCCGGAGAAGAACUCGAAGCGUCGGAAGACGCAGACGUCACCGGAACCGAAACCCGACUCGACGUGUUUCGGAUAACCAACUUGUUCGUAUCUCUUGGAUACUCCACCUUUACUCGUGCGCUUUACAAGAAAUCGCAACGCAAUCAAUGAUGAGGAUUCAGGAGUUGAAGAAUUGAUUAGGAUGGCUUAGAAACCCACAUUACAAUAAACUAUGUUUGGUGUUUGUUAUUUCCCUUUUAUGACAUUUUGUAUGAAACUUAGCAAUUUUAAUAAAUGAAAUUUAAUUAUAUUGUCA